ensembl:lncRNA
GUUUGGCCAACGGAAGAUCUUGGUGGGAGACCAGCGGACAAGAUGCCUUUCAUUUGCUUGAAUUGGAAAGUCUUAUCUGACAGUGGCUGUGUCUCAUCAUGGUUAUAGGCUCUGCAGGACUGGACUCCAUCAUUGUUCAGCUGGUAUUUCAGCUCUUGCCUCACAGUUUGGCUUUUGAGUUGAUAAGCAGAAGACAGAGGAAAGAGAAGGUGGAAGCUCUAUACAUCCCUCCUGUCUGCUCAGAAAAUUUAUUUCAACUUCAGGCUCUUCUGUUGCUGAUCUUUAACUUCCAG